rnacentral:lncRNA from 1 species
CGUACAGCCGCCAGAGCCUGUCAAUAUGCGGCACUGCCACCUAAGGGCAUUAUCCCGCUUGGGGCAUUGUCAACCCUAGCGAUUUGACAGCCCCGCGGUGAUAUGACGCUUUCACGGUGACUCUGACAGUCUACAAUGAGUUGACAAUUCCUCAAUUGUCCGCGUCAUUAAUGACGGCGCCAUACCAUGCCCCACUAUAAAUAUCGGGGA